rnacentral:sRNA from 1 species
GACGGAUUGUGCUGCCUUGGACAUCCCUGGAUAUUAGUUGAUUGUUUCAACAAGAAAACAGUGGGACACACAUUCCAUAUUGGGCCGGAAUGGACAUGCGCAUCAGUGCCCAAUUGCCCGACAACCCGCCAACAUUGUCUGCCUGAUCCUGAGAACGACCCCCAAUUGGCUAUCCACGAUUCCUUGCCCUGCGAAUAUUGAGGUUUUUGCCCAUGGGCGACGGACAUCAUUGGCGCAGAAGGGAGCGCUUGCGGGGCGAUCUGGAGGUUCAACUCCGCACCUGUCAACGGCCAGAGGGCCACAGUGAACCUGUGAUUUCCACACGCAAGGGACGCUUGGUUGCGAUUAAGAGAUAGGAUCUU